UUAAGCGACUAAGCGUACACGGUGGAUGCCCUGGCAGUCAGAGGCGAUGAAGGACGUGCUAAUCUGCGAUAAGCGUCGGUAAGGUGAUAUGAACCGUUAUAGCCGGCGAUUUCCGAAUGGGGAAACCCAGUGCAAUUCGUUGCACUAUCGUUAAGUGAAUACAUAGCUUAACGAAGCGAACCGGGGGAACUGAAACAUCUAAGUACCCCGAGGAAAAGAAAUCAACCGAGAUUCCCCCAGUAGCGGCGAGCGAACGGGGAGCAGCCCAGAACCUGAAUCAGUUUGUGUGUUAGUGGAAGCGUCUGGAAAGUCGCAGGGUACAGGGUGAUACUCCCGUACACUAAAAUGCAUAUUCUGUGAGUUCGAAGAGUAGGGCGGGACACGUGGUAUCCUGUCUGAAUAUGGGGGGACCAUCCUCCAAGGCUAAAUACUCCUGACUGACCGAUAGUGAACCAGUACCGUGAGGGAAAGGCGAAAAGAACCCCGGCGAGGGGAGUGAAAAAGAACCUGAAACCGUGUACGUACAAGCAGUGGGAGCCUCUUUAUGGGGUGACUGCGUACCUUUUGUAUAAUGGGUCAGCGACUUAUAUUCUGUAGCAAGGUUAACCGUAUAGGGGAGCCGCAGGGAAACCGAGUCUUAACUGGGCGUUAAGUUGCAGGGUAUAGACCCGAAACCCGGUGAUCUAGCCAUGGGCAGGUUGAAGGUUGGGUAACACUAACUGGAGGACCGAACCGACUAAUGUUGAAAAAUUAGCGGAUGACUUGUGGCUGGGGGUGAAAGGCCAAUCAAACCGGGAGAUAGCUGGUUCUCCCCGAAAGCUAUUUAGGUAGCGCCUCGUGAAUUCAUCUUCGGGGGUAGAGCACUGUUUCGGCUAGGGGGUCAUCCCGACUUACCAACCCGAUGCAAACUACGAAUACCGAAGAAUGUUAUCACGGGAGACACACGGCGGGUGCUAACGUCCGUCGUGAAGAGGGAAACAACCCAGACCGCCAGCUAAGGUCCCAAAGUCAUGGUUAAGUGGGAAACGAUGUGGGAAGGCACAGACAGCCAGGAUGUUGGCUUAGAAGCAGCCAUCAUUUAAAGAAAGCGUAAUAGCUCACUGGUCGAGUCGGCCUGCGCGGAAGAUGUAACGGGGCUAAACCAUGCACCGAAGCUGCGGCAGCGACACGAUGUGUUGUUGGGUAGGGGAGCGUUCUGUAAGCCGUUGAAGGUGGCCUGUGAGGGUUGCUGGAGGUAUCAGAAGUGCGAAUGCUGACAUAAGUAACGAUAAAGCGGGUGAAAAGCCCGCUCGCCGGAAGACCAAGGGUUCCUGUCCAACGUUAAUCGGGGCAGGGUGAGUCGACCCCUAAGGCGAGGCCGAAAGGCGUAGUCGAUGGGAAACAGGUUAAUAUUCCUGUACUCGGUGUUACUGCGAAGGGGGGACGGAGAAGGCUAUGUUGGCCGGGCGACGGUUGUCCCGGUUUAAGCAUGUAGGCGGAGGUUCCAGGUAAAUCCGGUACCUUAUUAACGCUGAGGUGUGAUGACGAGGCACUACGGUGCUGAAGUGACAAAUGCCCUGCUUCCAGGAAAAGCCUCUAAGCAUCAGGUAACAUCAAAUCGUACCCCAAACCGACACAGGUGGUCAGGUAGAGAAUACCAAGGCGCUUGAGAGAACUCGGGUGAAGGAACUAGGCAAAAUGGUGCCGUAACUUCGGGAGAAGGCACGCUGAUGGUAAGUGAAGCGACUUGCUCGUGGAGCUGAACUCAGUCGAAGAUACCAGCUGGCUGCAACUGUUUAUUAAAAACACAGCACUGUGCAAACACGAAAGUGGACGUAUACGGUGUGACGCCUGCCCGGUGCCGGAAGGUUAAUUGAUGGGGUUAUCCGUAAGGAGAAGCUCUUGAUCGAAGCCCCGGUAAACGGCGGCCGUAACUAUAACGGUCCUAAGGUAGCGAAAUUCCUUGUCGGGUAAGUUCCGACCUGCACGAAUGGCGUAAUGAUGGCCAGGCUGUCUCCACCCGAGACUCAGUGAAAUUGAACUCGCUGUGAAGAUGCAGUGUACCCGCGGCAAGACGGAAAGACCCCGUGAACCUUUACUAUAGCUUGACACUGAACACUGGUCCUUGAUGUGUAGGAUAGGUGGGAGGCUUUGAAGUGUGGACGCCAGUCUGCAUGGAGCCGACCUUGAAAUACCACCCUUUAAUGGCUGGUGUUCUAACGUAGACCCGUCAUCCGGGUUGCGGACAGUGUCUGGUGGGUAGUUUGACUGGGGCGGUCUCCUCCCAAAGAGUAACGGAGGAGCACGAAGGUUAGCUAAUCCUGGUCGGACAUCAGGAGGUUAGUGCAAUGGCAUAAGCUAGCUUGACUGCGAGCGUGACGGCGCGAGCAGGUGCGAAAGCAGGUCAUAGUGAUCCGGUGGUUCUGAAUGGAAGGGCCAUCGCUCAACGGAUAAAAGGUACUCCGGGGAUAACAGGCUGAUACCGCCCAAGAGUUCAUAUCGACGGCGGUGUUUGGCACCUCGAUGUCGGCUCAUCACAUCCUGGGGCUGAAGUAGGUCCCAAGGGUAUGGCUGUUCGCCAUUUAAAGUGGUACGCGAGCUGGGUUUAGAACGUCGUGAGACAGUUCGGUCCCUAUCUGCCGUGGGCGCUGGAGAAUUGAGGGGGGCUGCUCCUAGUACGAGAGGACCGGAGUGGACGCAUCACUGGUGUUCGGGUUGUCAUGCCAAUGGCAUUGCCCGGUAGCUAAAUGCGGAAGAGAUAAGUGCUGAAAGCAUCUAAGCACGAAACUUGCCCCGAGAUGAGUUCUCCCUGACUCCUUGAGAGUCCUGAAGGAACGUUGAAGACGACGACGUUGAUAGGUCGGGUGUGUAAGCGUAGCGAUACGUUGAGCUAACCGAUACUAAUGAACCGUGAGGCUUAACCU
rnacentral:rRNA from 1 species